rnacentral:rRNA from 1 species
AAUGCCUAGGAAAUUGCCCUGAUGUGGGGGAUAACCAUUGGAAACGAUGGCUAAUACCGCAUGAUGCCUACGGGCCAAAGAGGGGGACCUUCGGGCCUCUCGCGUCAGGAUAUGCCUAGGUGGGAUUAGCUAGUUGGUGAGGUAAGGGCUCACCAAGGCGACGAUCCCUAGCUGGUCUGAGAGGAUGAUCAGCCACACUGGAACUGAGACACGGUCCAGACUCCUACGGGAGGCAGCAGUGGGGAAUAUUGCACAAUGGGCGCAAGCCUGAUGCAGCCAUGCCGCGUGUGUGAAGAAGGCCUUCGGGUUGUAAAGCACUUUCAGUCGUGAGGAAGG